GUGAGGAAUUUUCCGCAAUGGGCGAAAGCCUGACGGAGCAAUGCCGCGUGAAGGAUGAAGGCCUAUGGGUUGUAAACUUCUUUUCUCAGAAAAGAAUUAUGACGGUAUCUGAGGAAUAAGCAUCGGCUAACUCUGUGCCAGCAGCCGCGGUAAGACAGAGGAUGCAAGCGUUAUCCGGAAUGAUUGGGCGUAAAGCGUCUGUAGGUUGUUUAAAAAGUAUUCUGUCAAAGAUUAGGGCUUAACCCUAGAUAGGCAGAAUAAACUUUUAAGCUAGAGUUUGGUAGAGGCAGAGGGAAUUCCCGGUGGAGCGGUGAAAUGCGUAGAUAUCGGGAGGAACACCAAAGGCGAAGGCACUCUGCUGGGCCAAUACUAACACUGAGAGACGAAAGCGAGGGGAGCAAAUGGGAUUAGAUACCCUUGAGUCC
rnacentral:rRNA from 1 species